rnacentral:lncRNA from 1 species
ACACCUACAGAUUCGACCCUUUUCCGGUACUCGUGGGGACAGCUUUUGGUUACUCGCACGGAGUCUACCUUUUCCCGGUACACGCCCGGAUUCUAUCAUUUUUCGGUACUCCUGCAGAUUCGACCCUUUUCCGGUACUCGUGGGGACAGCUUUUGGUUACUCGCACGGAUUCUACCUUCUCCCGGUACACCCCCGGAUUCUACCAUUUUUCGG